rnacentral:rRNA from 1 species
UACAGAGGUCUCAAGCGUUGUUCGGAUUCAUUGGGCGUAAAGCGCACGUAGGCGGAUUGCUAAGUCAGGGGUGAAAUCCUGGAGCUCAACUCCAGAACUGCCUUUGAUACUGGCGAUCUCGAGUCCGGGAGAGGUGAGUGGAACUGCGAGUGUAGAGGUGAAAUUCGUAGAUAUUCGCAAGAACACCAGUGGCGAAGGCGGCUCACUGGCCCGGUACUGACGCUGAGGUGCGAAAGCGUGGGGAGCAAACAGG